rnacentral:lncRNA from 1 species
CUAAUCGACCUCAUACCUGCUAUCCGCAUGUGUCUUCAUGCUUUGUUUAUGGCCUUCGUCCUUGCUGCUAGCUGAGGUUCUUCCUCAUUCCUCUUCCCGGUCUCUUUUCUUGCCUAGCUGUGCUCUUUCUUUCCGUUCUUUCUUUCAGGUCUUACGAGCUACUUCUUGUCGUUGUUGGGUGCCUAUAUUGUUGCUUGAGGUGAGCUGCUUCUUUUCUAGUCUGUUCUCUGGCCUUGCUUCCCAAUCUUUCUUGUCUAUUUCGUUUUCUGCCCGAGUCCCUUUGGUUUAGAUCACGUUACAAAAAAAUCCGUGAUUCGUUGCUUGAGAUUGUGGUUCGCUGGUUAACGGUGCGUGGUUUCAUGUUGUAGGCUAUGUAAACCUUGUGAAGGAACACAUGAAAAGGAAAUGCAACUAAGGCAAGUCCAGUUUUUGUCGGACGAGAUCAGGAUGACAUUCUUUAUCCUCUAUUUUGGUUUGUGCUUUUCGUAUCGGCUAAUUGAUUUCUUUCCUAUCGGUGCGGCAGAUCUAGUGGAUGACAGUUGCCAGGAAAGGAGCGGUUUCACAGCAUAGGGCUAGCACUACAUGUUCUAUGUUGGCAUCGAGGCUUCUUAUUUGAUGGAGGAGGAGCAUUUUGUCCAUCUGUGCCCCUCAGUGAGGUUUCAUUGCUACAUGUUUCUGUGUGAUUUCACAUUCUUGGUUUGUUUGCCAUUCAUGUGCGCCUUAUACUAAAGCAAGCUGUAGACGCUCUUGGCCUUACAGCCGAC